rnacentral:sRNA from 1 species
CAGGUCUUCAUCCAAAAGACCCUGUGUCCAGCUGUCAAGGAGCCUAAUGUCCAGUUGACUCCAUUGGUAAUUGAUUGUGUGAAGACUGUCUGGUUGUCCCAGGGAAGGAACCAAGGUUCUACACUGCCCCUCAGCUAUAGCUUCGUCUCAGUACAGGACCUCAAGACUCACCAGCGUCUCCCAUGCUGCAGCCACCUGUCGUGGAGCAGUAGUGCAUACCAGGCCUGGGCCCAAGAGGCUGGACGAAAUGGGAACCCCCUGCCCCGAGAGCAGCUGUUACUUUUAGGGACACUAACAGACCUAUCGGCGGACUUGGAACAAGAGUGCAGGAACGGAAGCCUCUAUGUGAGAGAUAACACUGGCGUCCUGAGCUGUGAGGUGAGUGGAAGGUGGAGAUCAGAUGCCUCAGAUCCUGACAAGAAUGGUGUCCAAGGAUCAAGGCAAUUAAGUCUCUGAGGAAACAAACGGGGAGGUGGGUGGA